AUAAUAAUAAUAAUAAUAAUAAUAAUAAUAAUAAUAAUAAUAAUAAUAAUAAUAAUGAAAGUAUUAGAUGGUUGAAAAUAAUAGACAGCAUGGUACCGUAGGCUGCAGGCAGCAAGCCCGCUACGAAUGCAAGACUCUAGGACUUCCAACAAAACCUGAAAUAAUAAUAAUAAUAAUAAUAAUAAUAAUAA